rnacentral:lncRNA from 1 species
GUUAUGAUAAUCCAUUUCCAUGGCUCUCCAAAGAAACUUUCCAGAUGAAGAGAAAUGCUCCAUGUCUGUGCUGUGCAAGAUGGGAGCUUCUGGACACCAGUGGCUACUGAGCACUCGAACUGUGGCUGGUGCAACCAAGGAACCGAAAUUUUUUUUACUUAAUUUUUAUUUUACUUAAUUUUUUUUACUUAAUUUUUAUUUUACUUUAUUCUAAUUAGCUAAAGCUUAAUUUUUAGUAGCUAGUGGCUGCCAUCAGAGUCCAGCAUACUUUAACAUUUAUAUUGUCUUAAUCUUUUCUCUUUUUUUUUCUUUAAAAUAUACACAGAGACAGUGUCUCCCUUUGUUGCCCAUUCUUGGCUUGAACUCCUGGGCUAAAGCAGUCCUCUUGCCUCAGCCUCCCAAAGAUGGGAUUACGGGUGCGAGCCACCACACUCUGCCACUUACAGUAUCUUCUUGUUUUACAUGUUUUCUCCAGAUCUUGAUCCUCAAAAUUGAAAAUCAGUUGUGAGUAUUGCAUUAUUAUGCCUGUAAAAAUUAUCCUUAACUUCACAAGCCGAACAGUAUAGAGUAAUUCCAUUCUGUUCCUUUACUGCUUUUAUUGUUAUUUCUUGAUGUUUUCUAAUUGUUUUUCUAUUUUUCUUUCUUUGGCUGCGCUGCCCAUAUUGGUUACUCCAUAAUUUCAGGGGUGGUAUCACGCUCUGUGAUUCCAUUUUCCCCUGAAUACUUUGCUUUUGGAAACUUUUCCUCUCUUACCGAGCUCCAUGCUGAUGUUUGCUGUGUGGUUCAGCUGCCUGAUUCCCAUCCAAGGAUUUCCCUUUGCAACGCUCCCAGGGAUCAGCAACCUACUUUCCACGGGCCGCUUUUGGCUUGCUGCCUAUUUUUGCACAGCUGCCACACCUGCCCCCAUGCUGUUCCUGCGGCACCAAAAGGCUCUGGGGGUGGCAGGAUGUUUGCAUUUGGGGCUCUGUCUGCGGAUUUCUCUUCCCUUAGCUGUCUACACAGCUCACGCCUUCACUUCCUCCAGGCUGUCACUCAGAGGUCACCUUUGUGAGUCCUUUGCUGGCCUCCCCAUCUAAUUUUUAGCCUCUCCUUAGACUCUAUAUAUUUCCUCUGCUGAUUUAUUUUUCCUCCUUAGCACUUACUUCUACCUAACACAUUAUAUUUUACUUUCUUUGUUUGUGUAGAGAGUACACCAUCCUGAUCUGAGCAUGAGAAAAGAAGUUCCCUGAGGGCAGGACUUUAUUUGGUUCACUGCUGCGUCCUCACUGCCUAGACACAGUGCUCAAAAAUAUUUGCUGAAUGCUAUGGCUAGGCUUUGUGUCCCCACCCAAACCUCGUCUUGAAUUGUAAUCCCCAUAAUCUCCAUGUGUCAAGGGAGACACCAGGUAGAGGAAAUUGAAUCAUGGGGGUGGUUUCCCCCAUGCUGUUCUUGUGAGAGUGAGUUCUCAUGAGAUCUGAUGGUUUUAUAAGGGGCUCUUACCCCAUUACUCAGCACUUCUCUUUCCUGCCACCUUGUGAAGAAGGCGCCUUGCUUCCCUUCACCUUCCACUGUGAUUGUAAGUUUCCUGAGGCCUCCCUAGCCAUGCUGAAUUAAACCUCUUUAAUUUAUAAGAGUCAAUUAAACCUCUUUCCUUUAGAAAUUACCCAGUCUCUGGCAGUUCUUUAUGGCAGUAUGAAAAUGGACUAAUACACUGGAUGAAUGAACACAAAAUUCUAGAGUGAAAUAUAAAUCCUUCAGAACUUUGAAGGCUGUGCUCGCUGACCUUCUAACCCUUAAUGCUACUUCUGUGAAAUCUGGAGCCCUUUGAUUCCUUGUUUCUGUGAAAGUGACUUAUUUUCUGUGUUUGGGAGAUUUUAAGAUUUUCUCUUUAUUUCCGGAGUUUGGAAAUUUUGCAGUGACUUGAAAUUCUUCAUCCUAGGCACUCGAUGAGACUUUUUAAUCUAAAUAUUCUUGGACUUCAGGGGGAUCCUUUAUGUUAUUUCUUUGACUAUGUCAUCAAAUAAUAUUUCCUGAAAAUUUCACUUGAAUUUAUCACCCAACCUAUCAAAAUCUUUAUUUAACAAUUAUAUUUGCAAUAUCCAAGGGGUCUUUCUUGUUUUCAGAUUAUCUAUCUUUCUUAGCAUCCUGUUCUUUUUAAUGGAUACAAUAUCUUCAGGACUGUCUCUAAGGAUACUGAUUAGAAG